UCCUGGCUCAGGAUGAACGCUAGCGGCAGGCUUAACACAUGCAAGUCGAGGGGCAGCAUGACACGGAGAUUCGUCGAAGUGUUGAUGGCGACCGGCGCAAGGGUGCGUAACGCGUGAGCAACUUGCCCGUUUCUGGGGAAUAACCGGUGGAAACGCCGACUAAUACCCCAUAGUAUUGGAUUUAGGCAUCUUUAUCCAAUUAAAGAAAUUCGGAAACGGAUAGGCUCGCGUGACAUUAGCUAGAUGGCGGGGUAACGGCCCACCAUGGCAACGAUGUCUAGGGGUUCUGAGAGGAAGGUCCCCCACACUGGAACUGAGACACGGUCCAGACUCCUACGGGAGGCAGCAGUGAGGAAUAUUGGUCAAUGGUCGAGAGACUGAACCAGCCAUGCCGCGUGAAGGAGACGGCCCUAUGGGUCUUAAACUUCUUUUGUAAGGGAGCAAUAAGUCUUACGUGUAGGAUGAUGAGAGUACCUUACGAAUAAGCAUCGGCUAACUCCGUG
rnacentral:rRNA from 1 species